rnacentral:rRNA from 1 species
UACAGAGGUCUCAACCGUUGUUCGGAUUCAUUGGGCGUAAAGGGUGCGUAGGCGGUCGUGCAAGUCGGAUGUGAAAUCUCCGGGCUUAACCCGGAACGGUCAGAUGAUACUGCUUUGCUAGAGUGCAGAAGGGGCAAUCGGAAUUCUCGGUGUAGCGGUGAAAUGCGUAGAUAUCGAGAGGAACACCUGAGGUGAAGACGGGUUGCUGGGCUGACACUGACGCUGAAGCGCGAAAGCCAGGGGAGCAAACGGG